rnacentral:lncRNA from 1 species
AAGGGGCCAGAAGGAUGAUGCUCCAAGAAGUGCAGAGGGGUUGCCUCCCUUUGAAGCAAACUUUGAACCAUGGAGAGGGAGGCCGGACAGAAGGUGACAAGUAACAUUCCAGAUGGCAGAGUCUCCUUCAGCCUGAGCCUCUCAUGACCAGAUGCAAGCAGAGCCCUAGGCUGGAUGCCCAGGCUGUCUCCCGUGGUGGUGUAUCAUGGCUAUCACUGUGCAUCAGCAGAGCACUGGGACUCUAGUUGAUUGGGUGAUAUUUCACUUGGAGACCAUCCUCCCUUCGCUGGUGACCUCAUCAUCAGUCACAUGUCACCACACUGGAGAAAUUAAAUCUCGACCUUGGUGGCAACACUAGUCUCCACCUAUUGAUGGACAGCUCCUUUGUCCUUCAGCUGCCCUUUAGCUGUGCAGAGGUCCUAUUAAGCCAUCAAAGCCCACAGCUACCAUGUGGGCAUGUCCAACAUGAAGGAACAAAACAGCUUUGGAGGGGGGAUAAGAUUUCCUUUCCUUGUUACUUCAUUCUUUUUCAUUCGUAGGAAAUGGGAUGCCUCUUCAAAGAGAAUGCUCUUUGAGAGAAGAAGGUUGAAAGAAAUGAGUCACUGGGAGAUCAGGGCUAUUUAUUGUGGAUAUUUGUCUCUUGAAGGCUCUUAGAAUGUGUGUAUCUAUUAGAACCAUGAUCAUUGACAACAUGGCUUCUCUUUUAUUUGGUGUUAGGCUGCACUUCUCUGCAGAAUACCUUGGCUUCCAUUAAUUGCUUAACUUUGGAAACUUAACCAAGCAGGGAAGAGGGAGGCUAUGUGGGGAAAGAGAGGGCUGGAGCACAGCAACCCCAAUGAGACCUGAGGCAAUCUCAGAUCUCAGUUUCCCCUGCUGGAGAAUGGGGCUGGAGGUAACGCUUACCACACUGACUGGUUACAAGGAGUCAAGGAGUAAUGUAUGAAAGAUAGCUGCUGCUUCGUCAGUGCCACAGAGGGUUUUGUUGAAUAAUUAAUAGGCUCUGUCUGUCACUAAGAAUGUCUUAAUGGUUUACUGGCACUUCUUUGGGCCAGGCACUGUGUUUCACGUGCUUUAAAUUUUUUCAUUUGAUCUUUACAGUAAUUUAUAAUAGUAUCCUCAUUGUACAGAGAGAAAAAUCAAGGUUUAGGACUAGUAACUAGGUUACUAGGUAUAGGUUGAUACAGCUAGCAAGUGGCAUAACCCACAGAAGCUUUCAGUGUAUUUUUACUCCCCAAAACCUUGCACACAAGGAUGAACCCUUGAACCAGAAUACACAGCUUUGAUAAACUGUAUCUGAUAGAGGAGCGGAGGCCUGGAUUUGAAAACUGGUUCUACCGCCUACUGAUUCUGUGACGUGGGGAAGCUUAUUUAUCCCCAGCACUCAGUUUCUCAUGUUUGAUGGAUGCUCAGAGAUUCUGCUCCCUAAGGUGAUCCUGAGGAUUGGCCGAGAUGCAGAUCAACAAUGUCUCACAAAUAAUGUGUCUCAAUCUGUUCAGUGAAACUUGGCUGGGACUGAGGUGAGGGUUAUUGGAUUGGAGAAUCUCCUUAAGGAUGGGUUUGUACUGUAUUAAAUAAACCAGGCUGCUGUCAUAGAAGAACCAACUACUGCAAUUUGUCCCACUCCUUCUGAGUCCUACAAGUUCAGGCCUAGAGUCUGCACGAGAAACUGCUUAGUGUUUUCAAGUAAUCGGCCACCACAACAACCAAGAGAGUUUGUUGUAAAUGCCAAUAGUGAUAGACUGAAUUUGAGGAAAAAAAAAAAAAAGAAGAAGAAGAGGGGGGGAUUUAUUGACCAGAGAAAAAACAAGCCAAAGCCUUGGCUAAUUUGUGUAAUCAGCUUUAUCAAUUUGCAUAAAUUGUGCAUCAGGCUAUAUUCCUCUUGGGCAUAAUAAGCCCAAAUUUAGUUUUUCUAAUUUUAAAGUCAUCAGUCGCUUUUUUUUGCUUCUUCUGUUCCUUUCUGGGACUCGUGUGGGUCACACCUCCAUGCAUCUGUCAGGUGGUCUAUGAGUCCCUAAUUCUCAGGGACCCUGUCAGUGCCCGGCUAUAGCAUCUAAUGCUUAUUUUCCAAAAUUGGUCCAGCCUCGACCCUCUACCCUCCCCACUAAUUCAUGCCUUUUUGUCUAGAUUUCAUAUGCCCCUUUUUUUGUUAUGUCUUCAUUCAGAUUAAAAUCUUUGAAAUAUUUUAAAAUGAACCCCUUCCACUUGCUGUGCCUUUCUGCCACAUCCUUUCAAAUUACUCUGGCCAAUUCUAGAUUGUUCCCUAGCAGGCUCUCUGCCUUAGAUUCUCUGCCUCAGAUUCCAUUGCUUCCUCUCCUUACUUCUUUCUCAACACUCAUUAUUUCUGCUAAGGGUCUCUAAACAGUUCUAAAGGGUCUCAGAAGGCUUUGCUUCUGCUUUGAGAUUAUAAGAUGGAUUGCAAUAUUGAGCAUCUUUUCAUGUGCUUUUUGGCCAUCUGUCUGUCUUCUUUGGGGGAAGAGGGAUGAAUUAGGAGGUUAGGAUUGAUAUAUACACACUACUAUAUAUAAACUAAACAGGUAACCAGAACAUACUGUAUUGCACAGAGCAAUCAAUACUGUGUAAUAAUCUAUAUGGGAAAAGAAUCUGAAAAGGAAUGGAUACGUGUGUGUGUGUGUGUGUGUGUGUGUGUGUGAUUCACUUUGCUAUACACCUGAAACUAACACAACUUUGUAAGUCAACUAUAUUCUAAUAAAA